ensembl:lncRNA novel transcript
GGAGCUCCAGCGGCAGCUGCCGAGGGAGGGACCGUCCCCGCUGUGAGCUGGGCGGAGCUCGGGAAGGCCCGCAGCCUUCAGCUGAACUGUCUCAAUGGGACCAGAGCUCUGGCGCGUCCCUUGGUGGAUCCGCUGGGCCUCUACCUGCUGGCUUCUCAGUCCGGCCGCCGGGUCCACCAGAUGUCGGCCAAGAGUGUAGGACUUGGCCACCAGCUUGAAAUAUUUAAGACGGACCAGAUGGCUCUCCUCGGCUGCAGAACCGCUAAGAUCCAGUAGAGGAUGCAUAAUCUCACCGCUGAACAUUCCUGACAGUGUGAUUAUGACAUAUGACUUUACCCAGCACCAGAGUGAGUUGGUGCUCCAGCCCUGGCCCAGCCCACAGAAGAGAUUGUGACAUAUCACUGGACCCAACACUGAGAUGUUGCCCAAAAAGAGAUUGUGACAUAACUUUGGGCCCAGCACCGAGGUGAUGUCUCCCCUCUCCUGCCUGGGGCUUGCCCACCGAAGAGA